UUCUCAGUUAGUACAUCUUAUAAACUUUCUACAAAUCAAGGUUACACACACCAAGAUAAGAAAUAACAGACACCAACUUCUUCAAAUGCCCACAAAGAUGUAGGAGUAUUCUCCACAGAGGGGCAGAGGGGGAGAGGUGGGGCUUGGUUUCCUGGUAACACAGGGGGGAAGAAAGGGAAGGCAAGGUAAGCAUGCCCUCUCAGCUUCCAUAGCUCACAGGCAUUCUGGGACAGGAAAAUAGAGUUACAAACUUCCGUGUUAGAAAGAAGGGUCUCCUGGGCUAAAGAAACUUCAAGCAGCUGGAAAUGCCAGCAGGGUCUUCUCUUUAGUCUAUCCGGCCUCUCGCCGUGGGGCUGAGGAGAGGAACUUCAGUAACCAUGGUAACUUGACACCAGCUGAAGCUGAUCCUGGGAAAUUCCGGAGAGGACACCGACCCCUUUCGCUCAGGGAGACGUGUGCUGGGUUCCCAUCUGGCUGCGAAAUCCUGUCUCUCUUCUGGCUGCUGACUCUUCUCUCGUUCCGUGUGUUCACUUCUCUUGGCGUGUAUGGGUUUGUUACCGACUCACUCCGUGUGACCAGUUCCUGCCCAUCUCUAAACGCAGGCAAAGUAUUCCUUCAGGGGUGCGAAGAGGUGGUGGAUUACUGGCACUCUCCAGGACCUGCUGAGCAGUUUCUGCCGGGCCAGGUGGCUCAUAUUGGACACGUCCGUGUAGUGCACGGGGAAGCCAAAGACCCUCUUCAUCUCCGUGCAACGCAGGAUGCCCUCCUUCUCGUUCAUGAACAUGGGGAAGUGCUGGUCCUUGCCCUGCUUGAUGGAGUUGGAGCUAGUGGUGAUGGUUCACACUUUGCUGAACUUUGCUAUCCUGCCGUGCUCCAGGCACUCCUGCAGCUCCAGCUUAUCACUGAUGGUGGAUGCCUGUUUAUGCCAGGCAGGUUCCCCCAGAAGUACCGUGCCCGGUGCGCUGCAGACACUUCUUUGGCAUCAAUGAUGACGGGAUUGGACUCCAGGAAGCGCGAGAUGUCCCUCUUGUCGCUCACUCCCAUGGCCACCACGUUCUCAAAGAGCCAGAAGAAGGGCUGGUCGUUACCCUCCUUGGGCCGGGCUUCAUGGAGCAGGUGGUAGAACUCAAAGAAGAGACGUUCAGUGCCCUCUUAGGGACCCUUCCUGGCCAGGUUGACAAUGGACAGGUCGUUGCAGGGGCUCCCCCCAGUCACCAGAUUAAAGGGGCCCCACUCUUGUAUGUGUUUCUGGGUGACGUUGCGGACGUCCCCGACGUACAUGAUCUUGCCUUGGUGCUUCACCAUGCCCACAAGUGAUAGAGUCCUCACACACCUCGGAGGCGAUGUCCCUGUCCACCUGGAUGCCCAGGUCCUUCAGCACUAGCAUGCCUGUGGAGAUGCCAUCGAAGAGUGAGAGCACCCAGAUGGGCUUCCUCUUCUCAGCGGCCAGUGGCGGGUACACCUUCGGUGGGUCAAACUCCUGGUACAAAAGAGGCACCCCUGGCAUCCAAAUCCUCUGUCUCGGUAUCACUGUCUCCAGACUGGCACCGCUCCAGCGCUUUAAAGAGCAUGCUCCAGGUGUCUGCCAGGCUGCACACGCUGGUAUCUCCUGCAGCUAACUCAGACUAUAGGCAGUCUCCCACUGACAACCAAAUUUCGAGGUCAAAGGCAUUAUCGACAGUCACAGUAAAACCUUGCGCUUUUACCCACGGGAACAAAGCACGCAUAGCAUCUUCAGAAAUAUUGAGUCCCAUGCGCGGCACGGCGUCCUGCCACGCAGAGAAGACAAGCUGAUCAUUAGUUGAAUUGCAGUUCCCCAUUGUGAGAACAGUCUAUCUUGACGGCCUGUGAAUGCAAAUUACGCAGACGCAGUGGCUUAACCCGGGACUUUAAGCUCUAGCUUCACCAAGAUAAGCCGUUCAAGCCCCCUCACUGGCAGGGCUCCACUAUCCCGUUGGUCUAAAAAACCAGCCCCCUCCAGGAGAGCCCGGGAGAUUCUUGUUUACCCUUCUGUGGGGGAAGCGGCUGGCUCAUCGACCGCUGGCUGCACUGACCCCCAGGGGGUCACCCGAUGCACAUCACGUCGGGGUCACCAGAUGUUGCUCUGUUGGGAACGGUGAAAGAACGACACAGACUCUCUUGUGGAGUCGAACUGGAGAAUUUUUUUCUCAGUUUAUUACCUCAGGUCUUUUUUAUAGACCGAUACGUGAAAAGUACAGAAAAGAAAACUUUUAUUGGUUAGUAAACUAACACAUCACCAUCACUGGUCAGUGGGGUUCACCACCCCUCGACUUUCUCUUGCAAGAAAACAAGGAACUGACAAACAGCACCUGCAAGGCUGUUUUCUGUCUCUGAGGAUUGUUUCAAUUCCUCCUUAUAAUUUUCCAGGCUACUUUCCCAGGCAAGACUGAGAAGGCUAUGUGGCCUGCAAUUUCCACAGGCACCGUGCUCCCUGUUUCACAGUUAGCAUCCAUAGCACACCACCUUAAUUAAAAGGGUUUUUAGUUUUGUUGGGUGUCUUUCUUGGGCAUUUUUAUUUUUUUAGACGUUUGGGGUUUGUUUUAUUUUGUUUUUUUGAGGAGGGGUAAGCAGAACACACUAAUGCAAUAAAAGUCCUUUGACACUGCA
rnacentral:lncRNA from 1 species